GCCGAAGUGGUGGAACCGGUAGACACGCCAUCUUGAGGGGGUGGUGGGCGUAAGCCCGUGGGGGUUCGAGUCCCCCCUUCGGCACCA
rnacentral:tRNA from 1 species